AAUCAACGCUGGCGGCGUGCCUAACACAUGCAAGUCGAACGCGAAAGCCCCUUCGGGGCGAAGUAGAGUGGCGUCCGGGUGAGUAACACGUGGGUAAGUCUACCUCUGGGUGGGGGAAGUAACUACGCCGAAAGGACGGGCUAAUACCGCAUAAUGCAGCGGCACCGAAUGGUGAUUAGUUGUUAAAGCGGGGGACCGUUAGGGCCUCGCGUCUGGAGAGGAGCCUGCGGCAGAUUAGCCUGUUGGAGGGUAAUGGCCUACCAAGGCUGCGAUCUGUAGCUGGUCUGAGAGGAUGAUCAGACACACUGGGACUGAGAUACGGCCCAGACUCCUACGGGAGGCAGCAGUGGGGAAUAUUGGACAAUGGGGGAAA
rnacentral:rRNA from 1 species